rnacentral:rRNA from 1 species
UACGUAGGGUGCAAGCGUUGUCCGGAAUUAUUGGGCGUAAAGAGUUCGUAGGCGGUCUGUCGCGUCUGCUGUGAAAAUCCAGGGCUCAACCCUGGACCUGCAGUGGGUACGGGCAGACUAGAGUGCGGUAGGGGAGAUCGGAAUUCCUGGUGUAGCGGUGAAAUGCGCAGAUAUCAGGAGGAACACCGGUGGCGAAGGCGGAUCUCUGGGCCGUAACUGACGCUGAGGAGCGAAAGCAUGGGGAGCGAACAGG